AUCUCUAUAAUAAGCAUGACUCGUCACGUGAGACCUCUUCUUCCCAGGGACAAAGAUAGGAUGAGACACAGAGAAACCAACAAAACCAAACCCCAAAACCCAAGAAAAAGAGAAAAAGACUCUUAUCUUUCUCUCACCUCUCCCUCUCUAUCUCUCUAUUUAAGAGACUUCACUGUCUCUCUCAGUCUUUUAACGCAGAACAACUUUUGUGGAGGAGAGAAAGCGAUAUAACACACACACAGAGAUAUACAUCUUCAAUAGUUAAGAGUUUUCUAUAUACAGAAGAAGUGUGUGUGAUAGAGAGACAUCAGAUACAAAAGGUUUUAUAUAAUAUAGCAAAAGAAAUGCAACAGCACCUGAUGCAGAUGCAGCCCAUGAUGGCUGGUUACUACCCCAGCAAUGUCACCUCUGAUCAUAUUCAGCAGUACUUGGACGAGAACAAAUCGUUGAUUCUGAAGAUAGUUGAAUCUCAAAACUCGGGAAAGCUCAGCGAGUGUGCCGAGAACCAGGCAAGGCUUCAACGCAACUUAAUGUACUUAGCUGCAAUUGCAGAUUCUCAGCCUCAACCUCCAAGCAUGCAUAGCCAGUAUGGAACUGCUGGUGGUGGUGGGUUGAUGCAGGGAGAAGGAGGGUCACACUAUUUGCAACAGCAACAGGCAAUUCAACAGCAGCAGAGUCAGCAGUCUCUAAUGGCGGCUCGAUCUUCAAUGUUGUAUGCUCAGCAGCAGCAACAGCCUUAUGCAACGCUUCAGCAGCAGCAAUUGCACCAUAGCCAGCUUGGGAUGAGCUCAAGCAGCGGAGGAGGAAGCAGCGGUCUCCAUAUGCUACAGGGAGAGGCUGGUGGGUUUCAUGAUUUUGGCCGUGGGAAGUUGGAAAUGGGAAGUGGUGAAGGCAGAGGAGGAAGCUCAGGGGAUGGUGGAGAAACCCUUUACUUGAAGUCAUCAGAUGAUGGGAACUGAAAGAGUAUGAUGAAGUAGCAGCAGCAGAAGUAGUAAAAGUAAGAGUCUGAAGUUUGUGUGCGUUGGUUAAGUUGCUUGGUGAAGAAGCAAAGAAGUCUUAUUUACCCUUUUGUGUUUUUAUUUUCUCUUAUGUUUGUGCCCUAAAAAAAGUGAACUCUUUCGUGGUAGUGUACCAUGUAAAUCUGCUCGCUCUAAA